UUAUACGAGAGUGUCGCUUAUAUAUAGGUGAUCGAAAGGUUUACUGUGUGGCACAACAAGCACAAUAUACACACUGUACUAUACACACUGUGACACAAUAUCGUCUAUAUACUGUGUGUGUAUGCUUGUAUGUGUGUGCUGGUGUGUGUGUGUGUGUAUUACCCUUGAUAUGAUAUCAUGCAUGACACUCCAUCGAUGAAGAGAAGAUGAUUAAUACGAUUAUUAGUGAGUGUGGUUCGUAAUUCUUCUUACAUGCACCAGAUAGACCGCUAGUUUGAUUAUUAAGCAUCGAUGCUACUGAUAUCAGUAGCUUUUAUUAGCGAACAUAUAUGUAUAUACGUCUGUAUAUUACACGUAAAUGAUAUAUAAUAUUAUUUUAUUCAGCUAAUGAAAGUCAUGACUAUAUACGCGCUAGCGAGACACCAUCAUGUACACAGCUACGUAGCACAUGAGCAACCAAUCAUAUACAGCAUAUGGAGGUCCUCAUCAUGUGCUGGUGGUGUAUGCCAACCUUAUUAGUGAGGUUCUGUGCCAUGAUUUCUUAGAUCAUACAUGAUCAUGAUGAGGCACCUGCCUGCUGCAAGCGCUUGCAGCACGCAACCAGUCAUGCACUAAAAUUCAUGCUUGCAUGCAGCCACGCGUGGCUGCACACACAUGUGUCCAUAUGUAUGUCCAUAAUAAACUUUGGAAUUGCUUUCUCGCUCAUAUGAGCGAUCAUGCAUGAUCGGGCUUCAGGAUGCAGUUGCCUGCCGCUGGAUCGUAAUAAGUGUGUAGUGGAUAGCUAUAAAUAUAUAAUAUGUAUGUAACAUGUCGCCGUAGCUCCUACGAAGUAGCAAAGCGGAGGCCUUAGGCCGAUUCGCCGUCCCUCCGUCCGUCGCCGUAGCUCCUACGAAGUAGGAAAGCGGAGGCCUUAGGCCGAUUCGCCGUCCCUCCAUCCGUCCGUCUCUCUGUCCACCACGUCGCGGGUUCGAUCCCCCUCGCGUGCGCGUCUUUUUUUUUGCCUGCUUUUUUUUCUUUUUUUUUCUUCGUAUGCUUCAUAUGCUUCAUAUGCUUCAUAUGCACAUAUGCACAUAUGCUUCAUAUGCACAUAUGCUUCAUAUGCACAUAUGCACAUGUGUUUCGAUAUGCACGCAUGCUUCAUAUGCAAGCAUAUGCCGCAUGCGAUGUGCAAUCAUAUGUGAUCUGCAAGCAUAUACGAUCUGCAAGCAUAUACGAUCUGCAAGCAGCGCUGCCUUCCUGCUAGUCGCUUUUUCUAGCUUCGUCUUCUACGUGCCCUUCAUGUCUUCUUAUCCGCG
rnacentral:lncRNA from 1 species